AAUGAAGAAGUCACUGUUAUUAUCCCUGUUACAUGGAUGAGGAAACUGAGACAUGGAAAGAUGAAAUCAACUGCCCAAGAUUUCAGCUGUUGGUCGGUGGCCUUCAGACCAGCAGGAUGGUCCUACUCUACAGAUCGUACUAAAAACAUCAACACACCACGCGAGCCACCAAAAGCAACGGCAGCAGCUCAUGGCCUUCUCAGGUGGUGAGACGAAAGUGCAAGAACCACCAACCCAGUGGAAAUCCAUUUACUGCUUGGGUCUGCAAUUUUCUGUGGUUGAACCAGUGAGAAAGAUGAUGACUGCAGGAAAAAAAAAAAAGAUAAAAAGUUCUUCCAAGCCAUGACUAAGGAAAUGAAGGAAACUGGAAGAGUUUGGUAUUAGAAAUAGAAGGACAAUGUUACAGAGUAGGACCAAGAGCACAAGAUUUGGAACUUGAUGACCCAGCUCUGCUACUUAGUACAAAUAACUUCGAGGAGAGUCCUAUGGCAUGUAGGCACUGGAACAAUCAGAAUAUCAAAAAAGGAAACUGAGGUUCACAGAAGCCCAGCAACUUAACUGAGGUCAACUGGUGAGUACACACGCUCAGCCACUCAGUCUUAAAACCAAGUGGAAAGAACAUUCCUUUCUGUGCUGUCAUUUAAAUGUAUCACAAAUCACAUCACACAAUUGAAACCACUAUUGAGUUAUUCUAUAAAGUAUAAAGAGCUACAGGCCUGGCUUAUGAUAUUUUAAUUUCAUGUGUGUGCCUUAACACAUCAUAUCCAUUAAAAAUUACUUUGGGGGAUUAUUUGAUGCUUGCUGUGUUGCCUUCCUGGUUUUAAAAGGACACAGCUUGUGUGAAUGGAAUUCAUACCAAUGUUUGAGAUGACUGAAGAACAGACGACCAAAUGUGAGCUCUUUCUGUAUGGAAAAAAAUGCCAUAUUCUCCUAAUUAUGACAAGUACAAAAGCCACUGUUUUUAGUCAAUGCCCCAGAGCCUCACAAAAGAAUGGCUGGACAAGGCAGCAGCUACCAAGGAGAGGCAGUGGGCAUCUACUGGGGCUCUAGGACAGGUUGGCACAUUGCUCAGCAGUGUACCGGGUAGAUUUGGAUGGCAUUUAUUGCAAGAUGAACCAAUAAUGACACAGCCCUUACACAAAAGCCCUUGUGCCCAGUAUCAAUCAUUUAGCAUCUAACAGUUCAGUGGACAGUCUCUCUGGGAUGAAUUUCAGCCAUGCCAGCACCCCAAAUGCAGUAAACAAAGCCACAAAAUGUGAGAGAGACACACAACCAAGUGACUGCAAAGCAUCAAAUGGAAGUAACGCCAUGAGCAAGAGAUUGCCAAGUGUGGCUUAACAAUACAAUACAGGCUGGCCACAGGGCGGUUGUUACUGCUCACAAACAGUUGACAUCUGCCAACUAAACCAAAAAUCAUUUGGAGACCCAAGAACACAGCAGCCCCAGAAUGGUAUGCCAAAGGGUCAGUGGAAAACUCUUGGAUUGCAGGAUAGGAAACAAUUAGAAGGCUCAUAAGUAUCAGUAAUCUCUCUCUCUGUGUCUCUCUAUCUCUUGCUCUCUCUCCCUCACUCA